rnacentral:rRNA from 1 species
AUUGAACGCUGGCGGCAUGCCUUACACAUGCAAGUCGAACGGUAACAGGUCCUCGGAUGCUGACGAGUGGCGAACGGGUGAGUAAUACAUCGGAACGUGCCCGAUCGUGGGGGAUAACGGAGCGAAAGCUUUGCUAAUACCGCAUACGAUCUACGGAUGAAAGCAGGGGACCGCAAGGCCUUGCGCGAACGGAGCGGCCGAUGGCAGAUGAGGGAGUUGGUGGGAUAAAAGCUUACCAAGCCGACGAUCUGUAGCUGGGCUGAGAGGUCGACCAGCCACACGGGGACAGAGACACGGCCCAGACUCCUACUGGAGGCAGCAGUGGGGAAUUUUGGACAAUGGGCGCAAGCCUGAUCCAGCAAUGCCGCGUGCGGGAUGAAGGCCUUCGGGUUGUAAACUGCUUUUGUACGGAACGAAAAGGCUCUGGUUAAUACCUGGGGCUCAUGACGGUACCGUAAGAAUAAGCACCGGCUAACUACGUGCCAGCAGCCGCGGUAACAC